rnacentral:misc_RNA from 1 species
AAGUCGUAACAAGGUAACCGUAGGUGAACCUGCGGUUGGAUCAUUAAAAAAUUUUUGGUCUCGUGCCAAAUCAACCUUUGUGUGCACUAUUGUCUGUUUUUGGUAGUUCGAGCGGCGUUUCUGUGGGCCUCAACAGCCCCGCCAACGCACUACCUGCUUGUCUCGCUUGCGAGUGAGUGGGUUGGGCUACCGCCUUUUUUGAACAAACCUUAUGUUUUGAGUUUCAGUCUGAACGAAAAGUUAAUCUUUUUUGAUUAAUGAUUCUUAUACAACUUUUGACAACGGAUCUCUUGGCUCUC